rnacentral:rRNA from 1 species
CAGUCGCCGCGGUAAUACGGAGGGGGCUAGCGUUGUUCGGAAUUACUGGGCGUAAAGCGUGCGCAGGCGGUUUCGUAAGACAGAUGUGAAAUCCCCGGGCUUAACCUGGGAACUGCAUUUGUGACUGCGAGGCUAGAGUGUGUCAGAGGGGGGUGGAAUUCCACGUGUAGCAGUGAAAUGCGUAGAUAUGUGGAGGAACACCGAUGGCGAAGGCAGCCCCCUGGGAUAACACUGACGCUCAUGCACGAAAGCGUGGGGAGCAAACAGGAUUAGAUACCCCCGUAGUCCCUGUCUCUUAUAC